AUGACUCUCAUCACCAUCCUCAUCUGGACGCUGGCCUGCUGCUGUUUUACAGGAUGCAGCGGUCAGGUGACUGUGACUCAGCCUCCAGUAGUGACAUCUACUCCAGGAUCCACCGUCUCUCUCACCUGUAAGACCAGCCAAGCUGUUCACGGAGGCAGUUAUAUGUUCUGGUAUCAACAGAAAUCUGGACAGCCUCCAAAGCUCCUAAUAAAAUAUGCGAACCAACGUGAAUCAGGAACAGCAGCUCGGUUUAGUGGCAGUGGAAGCAGCUCUGACUUCACUUUGACCAUCAGUGGAGUUCAGACUGAAGACGCAGCAGUUUAUUACUGUCAGAGUCUCCAUAUCAUAAACAGUGCUUACGUGUUCACACAGUGAUUUAGAGCCGUACAAAAACCUCCUUCAGUUUGACUGAAGUGAAACCGGCCUGCUGCAGGUGCAGAGGGUUGGUGAAGAGACUGUGAUGAGGAGAACUGGUCCAGUGAACACAA